GGGAGAGCGUCUCCAGCAUGACCAGGCAAAUCUGCUUGACACACUCGGUGACAGACUGCGGCACGCCAGCGAUGGUGAUGGCCCGCUCGGUGGAGUUGGGCAGCAUAUCCCCCGCCACCUGGACCUGCGCCCCCGUACUCUCGCGGAUCUCUUUGAUCUUACACCCGCCUUUCCCAAUCAGGGAGCCGCACUGGGUGGCCGGCACCACCAGCCUCAGGGUGACCGGGGGCCUGCUGGCCGCGGUACUGUUGGUCAUGGAGCUGUUGAUAUCUUCCUCCAGCUUGUCGAUGAUCAUAGCGAAAGCCUUAAAGAUGGCAUUGGUGGGGCCGGUCAGAGUGAUGAUUCUCUCCGGACAAUUCCCCUCCGAGAUGUUGAUCCGCGCGCCACUCUCCUCGCGGAUCCUCUUAACCGACUCCCCUUUCUUCCCAAUGAUGCUUCCUACUUCCUUUCCGUGCAUAAGAAGCCGAAUGAGGAAGACAAACAUAAAGAUGAAGUGCUUAAUUCAAGGUCACACAAUGUCGGGGAUGGACCUCCAGAUUUCCUUACUGGAAAACAAGCUCAGGGCUCCCACUGAUUGUACAUUAUGGUGAGACGUGGUCUUGUAACACAGUGGUUAAGAAUGUGACUUUGGAGCCAGCCUGCUAGGGGCUGAAUUCUGACUCAGCCAUUUACUAACUGUGUGACCUUAGGUAAGUCAUUUACCUUCUUUGUCCCUCAGUUUCAUCUCGGUUAAGUAGGGAUAAUGAUAGCACCUAUUUUAUAGGGUUAUUGUGAGGAAUAAAUCCAAGUAAAAUGCUUAGAAUAGUAACUGAAACAUAGCACUCAUUAGGAAUGCUUUAAUUUUCAUUUAUUUGAGUAUUAAAGGUUGAAUUUUCAGAGGUAUUUUGGACCUUUGUAUUUUUUCUUUAAAUCACUUAUUCAUGACUUUUGAACUUUUUUUUUUCUUUUAGAGACAGGGUCUUGGUUUGUUGUCUAGGCUGGAAUGCAGUGGUGCAAUCAUAGCUCACUGUAGCCUUGAACUCUUGGGCUCAAGAGAUCCUCCUGCCUCAGCCUCGUGAGUAGCUGGGCCUACAGGCGCCUGCUACCACACCUGGCUAAUUUUUUAUUUUUUGUAGAGAUGGGUUCUUGCAGCCCAGACUGGUCUUGAGCUUUGGCCUGAAGUGCUCCUCCUGCCUUGGCCUCUCAAAGCAUUGGGGUUACAGGUGUGAAGCACUGCACCUUGCCUACACAUUUUUUCCAAUAAUUUUUUUUAUUAAUUUGUAAGAGUUAACAUGUCGACUAUCAUAUAUAACAUAGAAUUGUUCCCAUUUUGUCAUUUCCUUUCAACUUUGUCUAUGUAGCUUUUUUUCUGUGUGCAAAUUUUACAUUUUUAGGUAGUCAGAAAAUCUCUUCCCUUGUAAUUUUUUCUGCUACUAGACCAAUGUUUAGAAAAAAGCGUGCUUCCCCACCUCAAAAUUAUAAAAAUAGUUACUUGUUCUUUUUGAGUACUGUGUGUGUUUAAAUCUUUAAUCUUUAAAUUUAAAUCUUUGAUCCAUCUGGUAUUUAUUUUGAUAUGAAGAGAGUGGUUGGGAUCUGGCUGUAUUUCUUUUUUCUUUUUUUUUCUUUUUUCUUUUUUUGACGAAGUCUCACUGUUGCUCAGGCUGGAGUGCAAUGGCAUGAUCUCGGCUCAUCACAACCUCUGCUUCCUGGGUUCAAGCGAUUCUCCUGCCUCAGCCUCCCGAGUACCUGGGACUACAGGCACUCGCCACCAUGCCCGGCUGAUUUUUGUAUUUUUAAUAGAGAUGGUUUCACUAUGUUGGCCAGGCUGGUCUCGAACUCCUGACCUUGUGAUCUGCCCACCUCAGCCUCGAAAAGUGCUGGGAUUACAGGCGUGAGCCACUGCGCCCAGCCUUGUAUUUUUUUUCAGUUUGGGUAGCUGUCCCUAAUUCAUUUGUUAAAGGAGAAGCAAGAGCAAGAACCUUUAAUCUGUUCUCCUCUUCCCUAAUUUGAAAGUAGCUUGUUAUUUUGAAUAUCACUUUCUCUGAAAUAGCACAUCUCCAUCUCAGAGAAUGGAUUUAAUGUUUGGAUACAGCCAAAAGUCAUUUCAUUACCAAACCAUGGGGUGAAUAUACCAUGUAAAGCAGUUUGGGAUCAGAACUCACAGUCUGAAUUGUAAGUGAUGAGACUGCUGUCUCUCUGCUACAGCUUCUUGGCUGGCUCUGAAGGCUCUUUGAAGGCAGAUCCUAACAAGGGGACUGCUUUGAAGGGCCAUUGUUCAUUUGGAAUGAUAAAGUCUAUGUUGUUCAAAAAACAAAUGCUUGUAGCAGGUAUUUUUUCACUCCAGACUGAGAAUAUUGGUGGGAUAUUGAUAAGGGGUACUGAAUGGUAAUAAACAUGUGCUCUAGCUCUGUGCUAGUCAGCUUAUUUCAGAACUCUAGUUUGAUUCAGUUUCUUGCCUCUGACUCAAAAUGGAGGGAGAGUGAUUUUUACAUAAGAGAACACACCCACAUAUCCUUUUGGCAGCAGCUACCUGCCAGAGAUGUUGAAGAAGAGUAGCCAACCUUUACACAGCAGAUAUUGUGUGCCAGUCAUAGUCCUAAGUAUAAUACCUUACAUGUAUAAACUUCUUAUAAGGUUGGUGCUCUGUACCGAAUUGAAUAGUAUCCCCCAAAAUUCAUGUUGUCCCAGAACCUAUGAAAGUGAUCUUACUUGAGGGAGGGGGGAGGGGGGAGGGAUAGCAUUAGGAGAUAUACCUAAUGCUAAAUGACGAGUUAAUGGGUGUAGCACACCAGCAUGGCACAUGUAUACAUAUGUAACUAACCUGCACAUUGUGCACAUGUACCCUAAAACUUAAAGUAUAAUAAUAAUAAAAUAAAAAAAAAAAAGAAAGUGAUCUUACUUGGAAAUAAGGUCUUUGCACAUAUGAUCAAGUUGAGAUGAAGUUGUACUGGAAAGUCUGUCUAGUGACUGGUGUUGUCAUAAGAAGAGAGGGACACAGAGGGAAGAUGGCCACAUGAAGAUGGAGGCAGAGAUUGCAGUUAUGCUGCUGCAAACUAAGGAAUGGCUCUGGCCCUCCAAGGAUUGCUGAUAACCACCAGAAACUAGAAGAGACAAGGAAGGAUUCUUCCCUAGAGCCUUCAGAGGGAGCAUGGCCCUACUGACACCUGGAUUUCAAACUUGUAGCUUCCUAAACUGCAAGAGAAUAA
ensembl:lncRNA PCBP1-AS1 PCBP1 antisense RNA 1